UUCUUGUCAAAGAAAAUUCAGUGAAAAUGUUCAGUAGUCAUUCAGGUGCGAACGAAAAGGGUUCUCACGGCAAAGCAUAUUUUUAUCCUAAUUUUAGGAAAAAUUUUCCUGCAAAAUUUUCAUUAAAAAAGUGGGUUACCUUUCGACCAGAAUCUGCUACAUCAUUCGGCGCGGAACUCGAAAUCCCAGCGAAGGCGUUAUUUUGCAGCCCCUUUUCGGACCUAUUUCUGGAACUGUACAGUCCGAAGUGGUACUACUUCAAUUUCACGGCCACGCAGAGGACGGGUUAAUUUGGCCGCAAUCGCAUCUAUUCUAUACGAUAUCCGCCGCCUCUGCACUAGGAUCCUGUCUUAAAGCGUAGCUUAUCAAUUGGCCAUGGGAAUGACCCUUCAGUUGUCGGGAUGACAUAGAAUCCCGGUCUACUUCAAGAGUUUCCUAAUGAGGACCCGCUGAUGCUUGCGUUGGGGAAAUCACAUUGUUUUCCCAGGAUGGAAUGAGAUGACUCUGGAGCAUGUCCAUGUCCAUGUCAGAAACUGUCAAUGUGGCCCAUUGGUGAUCGCCAAAUGCUCUUGACUUUCUCUAGAAAUGCCAUAAGAUUCACCGACAUAUGAUUGACUAUCUAAACUAAGUGAGUUUAGCACACGAAGGCUACGUUCUGCCCCAAAUGGCACUGGCCCAA